UGGUCAAGAUGAUGAAAUGAGAAAAUCUUAGGACACCUUCUGACACAGUCCGACAAUGGCUGUGUAUGAGAAAAGAUUUUCAUUUCUGAUGUUUCA